UACAGAGGUCUCAAGCGUUGUUCGGAUUCAUUGGGCGUAAAGGGUGCGCAGGUGGCGAGGCAAGUCGGAUGUGAAAUCCCGGGGCUCAACCCCGGAACUGCAUUCGAUACUGCCUUGCUAGAGUGCUGGAGAGGAGAUUGGAAUUUACGGUGUAGCAGUGAAAUGCGCAGAUAUCAGGAGGAACACCGGUGGCGAAGGCGGGUCUCUGG
rnacentral:rRNA from 1 species